rnacentral:lncRNA from 1 species
UUUCCAUCUCACACGUCCGCUUUCUCCUCCCCAACCACCUAAGCCACCCAUUAUAAACCCUCCACCCCACCAUUGCCAAGUUCGCUUUCUCCUCCGUACACAAAUUCGAAUUUGGAUGAAUCACCUCACUAGAUCCAAUCAUCAGCUUUCAUAAUCGAUUUGGGUUCUAAAUUAUGUUCUCAUGAAGGAACUUCUCAGUUCUUGCUGUAUUCAAGCUUUUCAGUCGAUUUCCAGUUUCAGAAUCCAAUCCGUGUUGUGUCACGAGAAUCAUGGUGUUUGAUAAAUUCCCUCAGUGAGAGUUCUGUUGAUGUCUACCUUUUAAGUAAUGGCAGGAGUUUCAUGUUGUAAGAUGACGAAGUAUUACAAUUCGAGGCUAGAUGCAUAGAGGAAACCUGGAGCAAAAAUUACCACCAAGAAGCAGUGUUUCCGAAUGGUGAACAGGUUACCUUUGUAGUUUUGUUCCUCCGGCUCCAUUUCAUUCACACAUUUAUAGCAAUGGUCAGAUUUGUUUCUUUACUCCUUUGUUAGUUAUUCAGUUUAUACCUAAAUUACACGUUGUUUAGUUACCUUGAAAUUUUUUAACAUAUAUUAAUAUUUACUAUGAUGU